GCCCCUGGGGAGUGUAGUCUGUGCCGAGAAGGGGUAAGAAGAGGCGGAGCUUCACUGAGAGCCUACCCCGGCCGUGUUUAGAAAAAACAGCGGAUGAGCCACCAGUGGCUGUGGUUCAGGGGGCGUGGCUUUGUCUUUUCCGCGGCGCCGGCGGCAAUCCCUGUGCUCAAAGGAUUCUGGGUACUGUGGUCCUGGUCCCUUGGAAAGCAGGGCAGUGAUGGGUGCUGGCCCACCCAGCCUUUGGCCGUGUGGCGGGACAGAGUGCCAGUGUCGAAUAAGCUUGGAAAGUGCACCUAGUCCUGAUGGAUGUAUAUACGGUACAGUGCUAUUAACAGGAACCCAGGUUGAGAUGCAGGGCAAGGACUUGCAUUUGUGGAGUGGCUUCAGGAUGAGGAGUCCAUGAAGAGGCUUCUUCCAUCUUGAAAAAAGGGGGCCAGUGGCUGCUCACUCAGAGUCAUUCUCUGGAAGUGUUGGUUCAUUGGAAGAUAUCCUGGAGGUCUCCAUGAUGCCAUGGUACCCAACCCUCUGCUCUUUGAUGCUGAUCAACAGUAACAGCAGAAUUCCCAAACUGUGAGAUGCUCUUACUAGGAUUAAAACCUCUCCACUUAUAAAGUAGUCAUGGAGUCACACCCAGACUUUUUGUUGCAUCUGAAGAUUCUAUGAGGAGAAGACUCCCAUUUCAAGAAUUCAGAUCUCACACCCACACUAGGACUUUAAGUCGAUGAUAAAGAGCAUGACAAGAACAUGACUUUUAACACACCAGACUGAAAACUGUGUGUGGAGGUGAGUAUUGUUUGCUUUCAAUUGCUCUGAAUGCCAGGUUGUAGCUAGUAAGGACUGAAAAGCCAAGACUGUUCUUGUGAGCACCAAAAUCAGACUUUCUACAUUGGCAUAAAACUAGGUUAUUAAUGCUUUUAAGGUUCUAGGAAGGUUUUUUUUCUUAAUUAAAAGGACACUUCAGCUUAUAAAGAUGACCCCUGGGGAUGAACCCUCAAUCUUUCCUCCCCUCUAUCAUUCUGACUGAACAGGAUUGGCAGUGGUUUUGUUGAAUAACUGGUAGUUCCCCCUUUUCUCCUCACUCAGUAAACAUUUAGUGAGUGCCUGGUAUGUGCCAGGCAUUGGGAGUGAUAACUACAAAGGGAUUAUAUGCAUAGCUACUUACAAUAAUACAGGCAGUGUUGUAUGAUAGUUUAGUGAUCAUGAACUUUGGAACCAGUGAGUUCUGACUUCAAGUCCUAGUUCUACCAUGUAUUGGGGAUGUGGACUUGGCCUUAGGAUGAAGUCAUCAUAGGCUUAAUUUUCUACUCUGCAAAAUGGGGCAGUGAUAUUAACGACCUCAGAGAUUAUAUAUGAAUAUAAAAUAAGGCAAUGCACAUAAAGCACUUCAUACAUUGCAAGCUUGAGAAAUGUUACCAUUAUUCCUAUUAUUCCAUGUUACUAUUAUUAUCUAUGGGAUAACAGUUUAACUUUUGUAUGUAUAAUCUUUUGUAAUUUUCAAGACAACCCUAUGAAAAGAAUAUUAUGAUAUUGUUAUUUUCAUAUUACAGAUGAGUAAACCAAGAGCAUAAAGGUUAAAGACCUUCUCAAGUUUAUACAUGUAGUAAGUGGUUGAUCCACGAUUCAGACAGAGUCCUUGCUUUCAUGAGUUCCCUGAGUUGAUUCAAACAAGAAUCACUUAGUGAGUUAAUCUAUCAUCAAUUAUGAUGAAUUUAACAUCAUCAUUGGUUCUUUCCUUUAUCAAUUAAAAAAUCCUUAUUUAUUUAUUUUGAGAGAGGGAGACAGAGAGAAAGAGAGAGAGAGAGACAGAGAGAGAGAGAGAGAGAGAG